CCUACGGGGGGCAGCAGUGAGGAAUAUUGGUCAAUGGGCGGGAGCCUGAACCAGCCAAGUCGCGUGAGGGAAGACGGUCCUAUGGAUUGUAAACCUCUUUAGGCGGGGAGCAAUGCCGGGCACGUGUGCCCGGAGGGAGAGUACCCGCAGAAUAAGCAUCGGCUAACACCGUGCCAGCAGCCGCGGUAAUACGGAGGAUGCGAGCGUUAUCCGGAUUUAUGGGGUUUAAAGGGUGCGUAGGCGGAUUUUUAAGUCGGCGGUAAAAUGUCCGGGCUCAACCCGGGCCGGCCGUUGAGACUGGGGAUCUUGAGUGGGCGAGAAGUAUGCGGAAGGCGUGGUGUAGCGGUGAAAUGCAUAGAUAUCACGCAGAACUCCGAUUGCGAAGGCAGCAUACCGGCGCCCGACUGACGCUGAGGCACGAAAGCGUGGGGAUCGAACAGGAUUAGAUACCCGGGUAGUC
rnacentral:rRNA from 1 species